rnacentral:rRNA from 1 species
UCCACGCCGUAAACGAUGAGAACUAGAUGUCGGGGGGGAUUUGCCCCUCAGUGUCGCAGCUAACGCAUUAAGUUCUCCGCCUGGGGAGUACGCCGGCAACGGUAAAACUCAAAGGAAUUGACGGGGACCCGCACAAGCGGUGGAGCAUGUGGUUUAAUUCGAUGCAACGCGAAGAACCUUACCUGCCCUUGACAUUGAUGGAAUCCACCAGAGAUGGAGGAGUGCCUUCGGGC